CUAUGCACACCCUCCCCCUUUACAGCUGGAUAACCUUGGGGCAGCUACUUCACCUCCCUGGGCCUCCUUUCAGGAAACAGGCCAGGACCCCCGUCCCCAUUGAAGUUUCACCCGGA
rnacentral:lncRNA from 1 species